GGCAAAAUAAAUCAAGGGCCCCCUUACAGGCCCCACCCAUACUCUGCAGCAAGUGCCACCCUUGUCCCGCCUCCAGCCACACCCUACACAAUCUUUAGACACAAGGAACAAAAGGGCAAUAAGCCCUUCGAGGCCCCAGUAGAGACUACAAUUGAGGGCUAAUGGGCCAUGGAGGGGGGUCUUUCUAGCGGAGGCUAUCUCAGUGUCCUUUAGAGAGUGUGUUAGAAAGAAUCCCCUCCAAGCCCCAUUAGAGA